GGUCUGUCAAGUCGGAUGUGAAAUCCCCGGGCUCAACCUGGGAACUGCAUUCGAAACUGGCAGGCUUGAGUCUUGUAGAGGGGGGUAGAAUUCCAGGUGUAGCGGUGAAAUGCGUAGAGAUCUGGAGGAAUACCGGUGGCGAAGGCGGCCCCCUGGACAAAGACUGACGCUCAGGUGCGAAAGCGUGGGGAGCAAACAGGAUUAGAUACCCUGGUAGUCCACGCCGUAAACGAUGUCUACUUGGAGGUUGUGCCCUUGAGGCGUGGCUUCCGGAGCUAACGCGUUAAGUAGACCGCCUGGGGAGUACGGCCGCAAGGUUAAAACUCAAAUGAAUUGACGGGGGCCCGCACAAGCGGUGGAGCAUGUGGUUUAAUUCGAUGCAACGCGAAGAACCUUACCUGGUCUUGACAUCCACAGAAUUCUGCAGAGAUGCGGAAGUGCCUUCGGGAAC
rnacentral:rRNA from 1 species